rnacentral:lncRNA from 1 species
CCUUUCGUUCCUAUCACUGGGAUGAAUAGCCGUGGGAGAACAAUCGUGUUAGGGUGUGCCUUGCUGCAAGAUCGAAAAGCUGAAACCUACAAAUGGAUGCUCGAAACGUUUCUGCAGGAGAUGGGAGGAGGUCAAAUACCAAGAUCAGUCAUAACAAGCCAGGACGAAGCCAUGGCGAAGGCAAUAGCCGAGGUCAUGCCACAAGCAAGGCACAGGUUCUGCAGAUGGAACGGGAAAGCCCAGGAAAAGAUGGCGGCCUUUGUGGCAGCAAGAGGCAACAUGAAAGCAGAGCUGGACAUCUUAGUUGACAGUUCACUGACAGAGACGGAGUUCGAACAAGGAUGGAGUGCACUCAUUCAGAGACAUGAUGCAAGUGAAAACGAGUACCUACAGUUGCUGUGGGAGAUGAGGAAGACCUGGGCUCCUGUUUAUUUCAUGCAGGAUUUCUUCCCUUUUGUCGUUUCAGCCAGAGGCAGCCAGGGGGCAUUCUCACUGUUCAAAGAGAAUGUGCUUCCCAAGGACAAGAUAGAGAAUCUGAUUGAAAAGUACGAGGAGAUGCAGGAUAAGAUCAAGAAAACGGACGAGGAAGAUGUACUGGAAGCGGCGACCGAGCCUUCAUGCUUCUCACUGCAGCCAAUAGAAAGGCACGCAUCACGUGUCUACACAAGGCAGAUCUUCCUGAAAGUCCAGAAGGAGCUCCUCCACUCCACAGCAUUCAAAGUGCAGGAGAUAGAAAGAGGCACCCUGUACAGGCUGGACAAGGCCUACAGCUACGAGAACCCGGAGUACGACCGGGACUCCUUCGAGGUGUCAAUCGAGCCCGGCCUCACCGACACGUACACGUGCCAGUGUGCCAAGUUCGCCAGGGACGGGAUCCUCUGCUGCCACGUGUUCAGGCUCUUCACGCAGUUUGGCAUCGACGAGAUACCGGAGAAAUACAUCGUGGCCCGGUGGACCGACGGUUUCAGGGAGGAGCAGCUGGAGCGGCGUGAGGAGGGGCGGUUGGUGGUGGCGGCACAACGCGAGGAGGAUGCGGCGAGGUACGCGGCACUGAUGAGCAAGGCGGCUGGGAUCGGGAGGGAGAUCUGCGGCGACGGCGCCAAGUGCGACGCGUUCAUGCUGGAGCUGGACAGGAUCCGGGAGAAAAUGGCGACGAUGGCGAUGGCGAAUGAUCACGUUUAGACGGUAAGUGCUGAGCUUGGGCUACAGUGGACAUGUUCAGCAGCAGAAGUCUCUAGGUACUCGGGUUGGGGAGUUGAUCUUGCUCGUGUGCACAAUGUAGAGUAGCUGGUAAGGCUUGUUUUUCCUGUGUAACUUGAGAGACGAGUGCUAUGUAGUCUAUUGUUGCAUUCAUGAUUCAUGCAUUGUUAACUGUCAAGGAUUUGCCGUCGUGAUUCUGCUAUGUUAGUAGUACCUGCAUGCAGUUCAUGAGAUGUACUCUGGUUGUGCUAAAAUGUAUCCAUGCAUUAACUUGUUACAGAUUCGCCGUCGUGAUUCUGUUUAUGUUAGUACCUGCAUGCAGUUCAUGUGGUGUAUUCCUGUUGUGCUAAAUAUGCUGCCUGAAACUGUUGGGUAAAACCAAGUGCAUCUUAUUUUACCUGCUGUGUGUUUGAACUGCACUCUGAUGUUGACGGGCAG